rnacentral:rRNA from 1 species
GACGAACGCUGGCGGCGUGCUUAACACAUGCAAGUCGAACGGAAAGGCCCUGCUUUUGUGGGGUGCUCGAGUGGCGAACGGGUGAGUAACACGUGAGUAACCUGCCCUUGACUUUGGGAAACCUUCAGGAAACUGGGGCUAAUACCGGAUAGGAGCUCCUGCUGCAUGGUGGGGGUUGGAAAGUUUCGGCGGUUGGGGAUGGACUCGCGGCUUAUCAGCUUGUUGGUGGGGUAGUGGCUUACCAAGGCUUUGACGGGUAGCCGGCCUGAGGGGGUGACCGGCACAAUUGGGCUGGGGAUACGCCCCAGACUCCUACGGGGGGCGGCAGUGGGGAAUAUUGCACAAUGGAGGGAGGCCUGAUGCAGCAACGCGGGGUGCGGGAUGGCGGCUUGGGGGUUUAAACCCGUUUUCGCCUGUGACGAAGCGGGAGUGACGGUAAGGGAUAAAGAAGCACCGGCUAACUACGUG